CAGAGUAAACGGUGAGCGUUAAGUGCUGCGGGAUGGGAAGUUGCCCGCAGACGAAAGCCGAAAGGCUGCGGUGAUCCGUUGCGUCCGCUGU
rnacentral:ncRNA from 1 species